rnacentral:lncRNA from 1 species
AUGGACAGCACUUGGCAGUUGGUGAUAGUUGAAAUUGAAGAGGAAAGUGAAGAAAUGCACCAAAGCAGAGCCUUAUCUCUCUACUGCCCUCCAUUUUUUCAAGUUAAAACUAAUGAUGUUGAGGUCUGUGACUGCAGAUGUGGGCAAAAAGCAGGAUGCUGCCAGGAAGUAAGUCAAGUAAAGAGAAGCAAGAUAUUCUGGAUAAGACUAUCUUUAAUUUUGUCAAAAUUUGACCAACUGGUCAACCAAAGAGAAUCAGCACAAAAUGGCUACAUAUGCUCCAAAGUCUAUGGGACUAUUGCAAUAGCUAAAUAUCCUGUGAAGCCUCAAGAAUACUGGUCUCUUCACCAUUAUAUCAAUAUAAUACAACCUGUGGAAUUUUGAAUACCAGAUUUUGGAUGCCAACUCUCUCAAUUUAUCCAAAACUAUGCCUUUUCAUAAUAUUCUUACCACUACUGAUAGAUAAUAAUAUAUUCUGCUCUCCAGAUGUGUAUAUGUAACCUCCCUAUAGAUAUAGAAAAAUAGUCUCAGAAUAAAGAACAAAAACACUGAAUACUUAUCUAUUAA